rnacentral:rRNA from 1 species
GUAGGUGGCAAGCGUCGUCCGGAAUUAUUGGGCGUAAAGCGCGCGCAGGCGGGGUCCUUUAAGUCUGAUGUGAAAGCCCACGGGCUCAACCGUGGAGGGUCAUUGGAAACUGGGGGACUUGAGUACAGAAGAGGAAAGCGGAAUUCCAAGUGUAGCGGUGAAAUGCGUAGAGAUUUGGAGGAACACCAGUGGCGAAGGCGGCUUUCUGGUCUGUAACUGACGCUGAGGCGCGAAAGCGUGGGGAGCAAACAGGAUUAGAUACCCUGGUAGUCCACGCCGUAAACGAUGAGUGCUAAGUGUUAGGGGGUUUCCGCCCCUUAGUGCUGCAGCUAACGCAUUAAGCACUCCGCCUGGGGAGUACGGCCGCAAAGGCUG